CUGAGGAGGGUGGGGUCACUUGGUGCCCAUAAUAUCAAUGUGUAUGAGGAGGGCGAGGUCACUGGGUGCCCAUAUUAUCAAUGUGGCUGAGGAUGGCUGGGUCACUGGGUGCCCAUAUUAUCAAUGUAGCUGAGGAGGGUGGGGUCACUUGGUGCCCAUAUUAUCAAUGUGGCUGAGGAGGGUGAGGUCACUUGGUGCCCAUAUUAUCAAUGUGUAUGAGGAGGGCGAGGUCACUUGGUGCCCAUAUUAUCAAUGUGUAUGAGGAGGGCAAGGUCACUGGGUGCCCAUAUUAUCAAUGUAACUGAGGAGGGUGAGGUCACUUGGUGCCCAUAUUAUCAAUGUGUAUAAGGAGGGCAAGGUCACUGGGUGCCCAUAUUAUCAAUGUGUAUGAGGAGGGUGGGGUAACUUGGUGCCCAUAUUAUCAAUGUGUAUGAGGAGGGUGAGGUCACUUGGUGCCCAUAUUAUUAAUGUGGCUGAGGAGGGUGGGGUCACUUGGUGCCCAUAUUAUCAUUGUGGCUGAGGAAGGUGAGGUCACUUGGUGCCCAUAUUAUCAAUGUGGCUGAGGAGGGUGGGGUCACUUGGUGCCCAUAUUAUCAUUGUGGCUGAGGAGGGUGAGGUCACUUGGUGCCCAUAUUAUCAUUGUGGCUGAGGAGGGUGAGGUCACUGGGUGCCCAUAUUAUCAAUGUAACUGAGGAGGGUGAGGUCACUUAGUGCCCAUAUUAUCAAUGUGUAUGAGGAGGGCAAGGUCACUGGGUGCCCAUAUUAUCAAUGUGUAUGAGGAGGGUGGGGUCACUUGGUGCCCAUAUUAUCAAUGUGUAUGAGGAGGGUGAGGUCACUUGGUGCCCAUAUUAUUAAUGUGGUUGAGGAGGGUGGGGUCACUUGGUGCCCAUAUUAUCAUUGUGGCUGAGGAAGGUGAGGUCACUUGGUGCCCAUAUUAUCAAUGUGGCUGAGGAGGGUGGGGUCACUUGGUGCCCA